AGUGAACGCUGGCGGUAGGCCUAACACAUGCAAGUCGAACGGCAGCACAGGAGAGCUUGCUCUCUGGGUGGCGAGUGGCGGACGGGUGAGGAAUACAUCGGAAUCUACUUUUUCGUGGGGGAUAACGUAGGGAAACUUACGCUAAUACCGCAUACGACCUACGGGUGAAAGCAGGGGACCUUCGGGCCUUGCGCGAUUGAAUGAGCCGAUGUCGGAUUAGCUAGUUGGCGGGGUAAAGGCCCACCAAGGCGACGAUCCGUAGCUGGUCUGGGAGGGUGAGCAGCCACACUGGAAGUGAGAGACGGUCAAGACUCCUACGGGAGGCAGCAGUGGGGAAUAUUGGACAAUGGGCGCAAGCCUGAUCCAGCCAGACCGCGUGGGUGAAGAAGGCCUUCGGGUUGUAAAGCCCUUUUGUUGGGAAAGAAAUCCAGCUGGCUAAUACCCGGUUGGGAUGACGGUACCCAAAGAAUAAGCACCGGCUAACUUCGUGCCAGCCGCCGCAGUAA
rnacentral:rRNA from 1 species